GGGAAGAUGUGACGAGGGGGGACACUUGGUGCCUGAGCCCAGGAAUAAGAAUUAAACAGAGAUAAGAAGAGCUGAAGAAAAUAAACUGCCCAACACACCCACAGGCCAGUAGCCAGUACCUGUUGCUGGAGAUCUCCAGAGGAAGGUAUCUGUUCUGGAGUCCCUGAUGUCAAGCACAGGGCUAGCAGUAAGAAAGAGUCUGAGAAGACAGUGUAAGGAAAGGUACCCUGGGAGAGGUGGCGCCUGCACCUCCAGAGACCCAGCCACCUUCCUGGAACAAUGAGGACCUUGGAGACAUGACCAUUCACCCUGGGCCAGGAGAACGCCACCUGACUAUACCCUGAAGGGGUGCUUGUUCCACCAGCUCUCUGGGACCUGUUCUUCCUCUAUCCCUGAGGUCCCUCGGAUUCACCUGCUACCUCAUUCUCCGAGGAGGAAAGCUGUCAGUCAGCAGCAGCAGCAGCAGCAAGGGGGGCGGGGGGGGGGGGGGGGGGGGGNGGGGGGAGACACAGCCAGCUACAGCCUUGGAAACUGAGGGGACUCUCACCCAGGAGGGGCCAUGGAAAGCCCAAGAGAGAGCCUUCAGCACCCUCAAAGUCCUGCUGGAAGAAUCCAGCGGCACAGACGGCAAGUCAAGCCUGGAACCUGUGGCAGUGUCACGGUAUAACAGACUCAGCUAGAAAGAGAGAAGUAAGAGGCUGCCCACCAGGAUCUGCCCCUCCCAGCCCCAGCCUACUUUCAGAGACCAGCCACAUCUGUAAGAUUCAUUUCUUCCCCAGCCCUCCCUGAAUACGUUCUGCACCUCUAGGUAUCCUUGGAGCCACCUCCAUUGUGGCUGUACCAUCAUGCACUGCCUGAAGCCACACAUACCACCACCACCUCCCUGCUGGAGCC
rnacentral:lncRNA from 1 species